rnacentral:lncRNA from 1 species
AUUUUCCUUCUGGAUGUCCCUAGGUUUUGCUCUCCUUGUCAAGGCACUAGUGACAAUCCUUCAGACAACACAGGGAACCUAUAUGCUUGGGAACCUAUAUGCUUCUGUACAGACCAGAUAUGCAUCAGAGAGGAAGAUCACUGAUUCACCUUCUCAUCCUCAACGUCUGCACACAAAAUGCUCCUCUGAACACAGAGGCACAGUGUAUCUUGGGGCAGAAGUAAUAUAG